AGGGAGAUGGAGCACAUCCCCAUCCGCGCCGCUGCCAAUCUCCUCCUCCUUCUAUCGUAAUUUCUGAUCCCAUACAUGUUCAUAAGAUGGAGACGAUCUUGAAAUCGAAGCUUACAGAAGACGAGUUCGGAUCCAAACCAAUACGAGAAGCAUAACAAUACUCGGUCGCUUCGAGUCUUCAUCAGCUCUAUUCCCCACCUAAUGGCGCGUGUAUCUCAGAGGAGAGCCUGAAAGGCCGAUGGCGACGGCGAAGUGGACGGGAACGGAAUUGGUGGGAAUCGCAUAGGACGGUAACUCUUUUUCCAAAGUUUUCCAUGCUGUUUGGGCAAAGAAUAAACCUUUUGCAAAAGAGUAGGGAAUAUAUAAUUGGUUGCUAAGAGAGAGAGAGAGAGAGAGAGAGUUUUUCUUCCUUGGACGAAGGGUUAAAGAUCUUUGUUCAUUUCAUUAGGUGUGAAAUGAUACAUGAAAAAGAUUCAGAAUGAAGAACACUAGUAAAAAGAAAGAGAGAAAAUGGAGGAAAGAGAGCCA
rnacentral:lncRNA from 1 species